CGGGAGUCUGAGACAGGAGGAUCAUAAGCUCAAAGCCAGUCUCACCAAAUUAGUGAGAUCCUGUCUCAAAAAAUAAGGGCUCUGAAUGUGGCUCAUUGGUAAAGCUCCCCAGGGUUCACUCAGCCAUAUCAAGGGGGGGGCGGGGAAGAAUUUUAGAAAAGGGAAGAAACAUUUUUUAAAUAAUACAAGUUGCACAAUUUUAGCUUCAAUUUAAAAUUUAUAUCUAUGCUCAGACUUUAUUUAUAGGAAAAUUCUGUUAUUCAUUCCUGGAAAACCAUGGUAUUGGAAAUGGUCUUUCUUUCUUUCUUUUUCUUGGUGGCCUUUUCUUUGCAUUGUGGUUUAACACUGGUUUCCAGAUUAUGGCUUUUUUUUUUUUUUAAAUCUUGUCCAAGUCUAGCUUCACUGUCCUCAAUUCUUUAUUCACAAUAGUUCACUAAGAUCCUAUAGUUCUUCAGCAUUUCUUGAACAAAUCCUUAGUGUUUUGCCACCAUGGCUAAUAGGUAUAUCUGCAUUCUUCUCAAAUUACAUUAUAACAUUCAGUUUGUCAUUUUCUAGUAAAAGCCUAGCUCUUCUGCCUUAUAAGAUUCUGUAUUCUCAGUUGCAGGGCUUUCUGAGGGUCAGGAGCUACAUGGGUUGUUAGAAUGUGCUAGACCUUAGUGGAGGAUUCUGGAGGAAGACCCCUGGUCUAUCAUGGCUGCUUUCAUUGAAGCUCUGAUUACCUUAACUCCUCCUCACACCCAGCCCCAAGAUAAUAAUUCAAAGAGAAGAAAAGGAAAUGGAGGAGCACAGACAUGGACA
rnacentral:lncRNA from 1 species